AAAAAAAAAACAUACCACCCAGGAGGGGUGAGAAAAUAUAUUUUUUAUUUUAUAUAAUAAUUAAUUGAUUUUCUCACCCCUCCUGGGUGGUACGUUUAUUCCU